UCAAGCUAAUAAGGGCGUUCGGUGGAUGCCUUGGCGCUAAGAGCCGAAGAAGGACGCGGUAAGCUGCGAAAAGCUACGACGAGCUGCAAGCAAGCGACGACUCGUAGAUAUCCGAAUGGGAAAACCCCACUGGAGUAAUAUCCAGUGAUCCUAUAGCCAAUCCAUAACUAUAGGAAGGCAACCUGGGGAACUGAAACAUCUAAGUACCCAGAGGAAAAUAAAGAAAACUCGAUUCCCCCAGUAGCGGCGAGCGAAAAGGGAAAAGCCCAAACCAACACUCCGGUGUUGGGGUUGAAGGACCUCCAUCACGGAAUUAAGGCAUAGUCGAAGGACUUGGGAAAGUCCAUCAUAGAAGGUAAAAAUCCUGUAGACGAAAUGUCAAGAGACCAGGAGGGAUCCUGAGUACCACGAGGCACGUGAAAUCUCGUGGGAAACCGGGGGGACCACCCCCCAAGGCUAAAUACUCCUUAGCGACCGAUAGAGAACAAGUACCGUGAGGGAAAGGUGAAAAGCACCCCGGGAGGGGAGUGAAAAAGAACCUGAAACCGAGCGCUUACAAGCUGUCACAGCACCAUACGAGUGUAGUGGCGUACUUUUUGUAGAACGGACCGGCGAGUUGCGUUAUCAAGCGAGGUUAAGUAGGGAAUACGGAGCCGAAGCGAAAGCGAGUCUGAAAAGGGCAAAAGUUUGAUGACGCAGACCCGAAACCGGGUGAUCUACCCAUGAGCAGGAUGAAGCGUUAGUAAAAUAACGUGGAGGUCCGAACCAGGUAACGUUGAAAAGUUAUUGGAUGACUUGUGGGUAGGGGUGAAAUUCCAAUCGAACCCGGAGAUAGCUGGUUCUCCUCGAAAUAGCUUUAGGGCUAGCCUUAACGUAAAGGUUUAUGGAGGUAGAGCACUGAAUUGGCUAGGGGGCCUCACCGCUUACUGAACCAUAUCAAACUGCGAAUGCCAUAAACUAUAGUUAGGAGUCAGACUGUGGGGGAUAAGCUUCAUGGUCAAAAGGGAAACAGCCCAGACCGCCAGCUAAGGUCCCCAAGUGGAUGUUAAGUGGAAAAGGAUGUGAAAUCGCUCAGACAACCAGGAUGUUGGCUCAGAAGCAGCCACCAUUUAAAGAGUGCGUAAUAGCUCACUGGUCCAGGGGUUUUGCGCCGAAAAUGUAACGGGGCUCAAACAUGCCACCGAAGCUGCGGAAUUGUAUAGAGAUAUAUAAUUGGUAGAGGAGCGUUCUUAACACGACGAAGGCAUACUGAAAAGAGUGCUGGAGAGUUAAGAAGUGAGAAUGCCGGUAUAAGUAUGCGAAAAGGCAGGUGAGAAUCCUGCCCGCCGAAAAUCUAAGGAUUCCUGGGGAAGGCUCGUCCGGCAGGUGAGAAUCCUGCCCGCCGAAAAUCUAAGGAUUCCUGGGGAAGGCUCGUCCGCCCAGGGUAAGUCGGGACCUAAGGCGAGGCCGAAAGGCGUAGUCGAUGGAAAACUGGUAGAGAUUCCAGUACCGCCAAAUAUCGAUUGAGUGAAGUAGUGACGCAGAAAGAUAGGGAGAGCGCCCAGAUGGUGAGGCGUUUAAGUAGGUAGGGUGGUAUGUAGGCAAAUCCGCAUACUAAAAGCCUGAGAUACGAAUACGAGUGAAAACUAGUAACGAAGUCCCCGAUUCUCCGCUGCCAAGAAAAGCUGCUAACGAGAUAUAAGGCGCCCGUACCGCAAACCGACACAGGUAGAUGGGGUGAGAAACCUAAGGCGCGCGAGAAAACUCUUGUUAAGGAACUCGGCAAAAUGAACCCGUAACUUAGGGAGAAGGGUUGCUCUUUAGUGUGAGUGCCCAAGCGGCAUAGAGCACAGAAGAGUCGCAGAGAAAAGGUCCAGGCGACUGUUUAGCAAAAACACAGGUCAUUGCAAAAUCGGAAGAUGAAGUAUAAUGGCUGACGCCUGCCCGGUGCUGGAAGGUUAAGGGGAAAUGUGAGAGCAUAGAACCGAAGCCCCAGUAAACGGCGGCCGUAACUAUAACGGUCCUAAGGUAGCGAAAUUCCUUGUCGGGUAAGUUCCGACCCGCACGAAAGGCGUAACGA
rnacentral:rRNA from 1 species